GGGCCCCCUCCCUGCGCGCUCCUGGCGGCCCCUGCUGCCAACGCGCCCCACCACUAAGGGACCCUCACCCCAAGGCCCGACCCCUGCAGCCCCUCUUGCGAACACUCCGGGAUCCCUCGAUGCUCUGGGCCUCCCUAGCAGUAACUAACCACCAACUGCCCCCUCCCCAGGAGCCCGGGCCGCACACCCUCUGGAUGGCCUCUCCCCGAGACCCUAACCCCGCCACGCUCCUUCACCGCUGAACGUGGUCAGUCCGAGCGCAGUUACCUACCCAGACCGUUCCCUCCCCUAGCUCGGGCGCUGUCUGGGUGGACUGGGGGUUGGGAUGGUUCGGACGACAGCGGCGGAACAGCAGGAGCCGAGAGGGGCAGAGAGGGGCAGGAACUACAGGGCUCUAGAGGGCACCUGGGCCUCGGACACGCGGCCGCUCAGGGCUGUGCUUGACCCAGUGGAGGUGGCCCGGCCGGUGGCUCCAGAAAGGGGGAGGGGGCACCCCUCCCCGGGCGUGGCCUUCGCAGGCCAACGGGCCCAAUUGCCUGGGGCGAGGCCGUGGAGACCCGGACUGGCGCCGGCGCCAGCUGGAGGGAGACGCCCCCGGGCAAGAGCUUACGAUUCUUCAUCAACUCGUAAAAUGAGAUCGCCGCGGAGCUCGAGCCUAUUUGGCGUCUCCGGAGACUAGCAAGACCCUCUGAAAGACACCGCGUCCCCAGGGAUAAUCCCCCGUGUCCGGCAAAGCUGCCCCGCUCGAGCGCGAACCCUGGGACCCAGCGCGGGAGGCAGACCAGCAGCUGGCCGCUGGGCUGUGAACGCCAGGACCGAGCGGAAGCUUCCCGCCCGGCCGCGAUCGGUGCCGCGGCUCUCAGGGAAGUGGCUACGCGCGUCCCUCGGGAAAGCAGAUUAUCGGAGCCCUUUCAGAGAGCGCACAACAAAUGCGCCCGCCAUCGAAUGCAUCAUUUACCACCGCAGAUCCGAGCGCUGAUGGGCAGGCAGAUAGCCCUCUGCUGGGGGCACGCGGGCUCCCCGUGCCCGUACCACUCGCCUGCCUGCCGGGGCCACUGAGUGUGCGCCCCGGUGUGCCCGGCGUGUUUGGAUGGACACGUGGGUGUGCCAGUGCAUGGGCUAACGCCGAUGCAACUGUGCGGGUGUGUCAAACAAGUGUACCACAAAAAAGUGCAGGUGUGCGAGCCCAUCCAUGCACACGCAUGGCAGGCGUCUGUGCUGUGUCCGGAGGCGGCCGAUGAGGCGGGUGGAGGGUUCACACAGGAGGCGGUGCUGCACUAAGCUUGUGGGCAGGCAUGCGGCCCAGGGUGGCUGGACACGUGGUGGAGGAAUGGGAAUGCAAGCCCGCGUGUCCGAGUGCAGCGGAUGAGCAUCCUGCGAGUGCCUCACUGUGUCUGCCCUGGAGGUGGCUGUUUAGGGGAGCACGCCGGAGGCCACUAGGGUGGAUGUGCUGUGUGCAUGCAAGUGCCCACCCUACGUUGUGUUUCGGGGCACACAAGCUACCUGUGCCUACCGGGAUGAGCAUGCAAGUGUCACCGCUCCCGCCGGGCGUGCUUGGGGUGUGCUUGGGUCUGCGUGAGGCUGUGUGUGUCCUGCCGUAUCUCUGCCCAGGUGUGCCCUGGUGAGCUGAGAGAGGGGCACGGGGAAGGGCAGUCGUCGGGGCCUGUCCGUGUGCCAGCGUGGGUGGACUCCGGGCUGGGGAAGCGACAGGGAAUGGUGUGUGCCGGUGUGACAGACGCCAGAGCGGCGGGGUGGAACGUGCUGUGUCACGGGAGACUUUCUUGACCAAAACGGAAUGUGCGAGUGUGGAAGGAAGAGGGGCCGUCCGCGGAGUUUGGGGACACCCGGGCGUCCGAGCCCCAGAGCCUCUGCAGCUGGGACAAGGAAGCCCGAGCCCGCCGCCUGAGGUCCCCGCGCCGUUAGUGACACGCGCCGCCGACAAAGGCUGUAUUUUUCCAGGCUCGCGCCCCGCCCGCGCGCGCGCGAUGGUCCCCAUGGCGACGCAGAUAGCGCCGCAGCCAUUUUCCCUAUCUCCCCAGAGUCUAUUAUACGGCGGGAUUAGCUCAUCUCCAGGCAGGUCAAACCCAAAGUCACACAACCUGCGACGCGGGCCCCGCCCCCACUCCCCGGCCGCCCCUCCCCUGCCCCGGCCCCGGCCCCGGCCCCAGCCCGGCGACCCCCGGCUGCUGCCCAAGCGCAGGCGCAGAGCGCCACCUGGCGGCGGCGGGGUCUCGGGUGGGGUCCGCGGAGCCGGUGCCCGUGCAGAAGAGGUGGGGUGAGGGUCUCUACCUCCAGAAGGCGGGCUCUCUGGGAGCAGGGGCUUUGCUUUGUCACUGCUGUUCCCCAGGGCCAGACUAACACACAGUAGGUGCUCCAUAAGUGUUUCUUGAAAGGAUGUUUGGAGGGAUGGAUGGAUGGAUGGAUGGAUGGGCAGGAAAUUAUAGACGGGGGCAAACUGCCAAAGGCUACAGUUUAGUUGGCAGCAAAAAAAUCGUUUCUGAGAACGCAUCCCACUGAAUUUAGAAUAAAAGCCAAACUCUUAGAACCUAUGUAGUGGCCCUUACUGACCUCUCAGACCUGAUUUCCUUCUUCCUCACUGCAGCCACAAUGACUCUCUUCUUGUUCCAGAGUGUUCCCACCCCAGGGCCUUUGAGUCUACUGUCCCCUCCACCCCGAAUGCAUUCUGACUCCACUCAAGUGUCACUCUCCAAGAGCCAAGUUGCUCCCCUGUCCCCUGCUCUUCUCUGUCUAUGCAUUCUUUUAUAGUGCUUAACACAGUCUGAAAUAGUCUCGCCCCUGUGUGUGUGUUGUCUGACUCCCCCUCUAGAAUACCAGGAUCCUUGGAGGUGAGGGAGUUCCUGUUUUGCUUGUGGCUACAGCUCAGCCACUGGAAUCAUAUCUGACAAUUGGUUGGCAUCAGUCGCAACUCUGGGAAUGAGGGAAUGAGGACUAGAGGGGGCUGGACGGGCCCAGCCACCUGCCUUCAUCAUUGUCAUUUCUCUUUAUCACUACGGUAACUCCUCCUUCCCCUCAUGACUUUGGAAGUCAUUCAGCAGCCACUCCAGCCCCACCAACCUGCCCCUAUCCCAGAGGGGCCUGGGAUGGAGGGAGAGAACCACUGAGGCCCCUCCACAUCCCUGCACCCGCUGUGCCCAUGGGGGCGGAGAACACAUCUGACCCGGCUCUGAGGGAGCCGUGGCCUCUCUAGGGAGGGCUGGCCUGCUGGUGAGACUUCACUCAUAAUACAAGAUAAUUAUACCAGAGUUGUCAUGAGGCGGUGGUGAUUAAUUGCUGUGCGUGGGGCACGGACGGACAGCGAGGUAUAGAGAGUGGAGAGAAGGCCGCAGCCCAGCUGGGCUUCCAGGUGGGAGCUCAGCCUCCCCAUCUCUGCCGUGGAAGGGACUCAGAGGUGUCAGGCCAAGCAUGCAGGCAGGCUUGUGACAAACUCCUUGGCCAGGAGCUCUGAGAAUUAGCUUCACUUCCCUCAGAAAUGCCCCAAUUCCCUCCUGGAAGAGGAGCUGUGUGACAGCUCAGGCCAGGGGGUCGGGACUCCCCCCAUCUCCUCCGCACACACAUACCCCUGCACACAUACCCAGCCACGUACAGCUGGGUGGCUGUACGCAAGUCAUUUUUCCACUCUGAGCCUCAGGGUCUUCCUCUGUCCACCUCCCCCCAGGAUUACUGGCAGAAUUAGGUGUGAGCUUGCAUUUAAAAAGAGGUUUGUUUUGUAAACCCAGGCUUUGCAAAUUGGCAGCCCAAGUCUCGGGGGCCUGUGCAGUGACUGAUCAUUACCAACAUUUCGAAGUGAGAGAUGUCACAUAAAGAGCGUCAUUUCGAGCUUCUCUUGAAAAGUUGUAAGAGUAAUUUGCCUGUUUCUGGCAAAUCUGAAGAUUGGAAUGCCACACGGCCCAGCCAUUCCUUUUCCAGGCAUAUGAGAAGCCCUCACACAUGAGCAAGAAAGAGAUGUGGCCAAAGACAUUCAUGGAGCCCUGUUUGUUAAAACAGAGAAAAAGAAAUUAAGAAAUACCCAGCCUGGGCAACAUAGGGAGACCCUGUCUCUACUAAAAAUAAAAAUUUAUACUUGGGAGGCUAAGGCAGGAGGAUCACUUGAGCUCAGAAGAUCGAAGCUUGCAAUCAGCUGUGAUCGUGUCACUGCAUGCCAGCCUGGGUGACAGAGAGUGAGACCCUGUAUCAAUAAAGAAAGAAAGAAAGAAAAGAAACAGAAAUAAACUUAGGACACAGCAGACGGCCCAUCCUGAGGGUACCACAUAGCAGAUGCUGGGACCUUUUUUCAGGUGGACGCCACAUGACCUUUCCUUUGCAGGCAUCCAUGCUGAUGUUCACAAGGCACACAGCAUUUCAGCUGAAGAAAGAACUGGCAGGAUUUUCAUCACGAAAGGGCACUGUCUAUCGUUUAUGAAAAUGAAGCAUAUGAAGUAAAAGUUUGGAAACAGAUGGAAUUAAAUCUUCUGACAGAUUUUAAAAUAAGAUCUAAAAAAGAGCAAGACAUGCUCUUGGAUGGGGAAACUUAAUAUCAGAAAAAUGUCAAUUUUCCCAUUUUUUCCAUAUAAAUUUAAUGUAAUUCAAAUUCCAUUACCAACAGGGUGAUUUUUUAAAAAACUAGAUAAAAUGAUCUGAAAGAUUAUGCAGCAGAAUAAAUGCCCAAGAAUUACCAGGGAAGACUGGAAAAAAGACUGCUGUGGGGGUUUUGCCUUCCUGGAAAUAAGACCAUACUGCAAAGUCACUGUAAUCAGAUCAAUAUGGCAUUGGCAGAGGACUAGACAAUGGAAAGGAAUGGAGAAUACAAAAAUAAGUUUCAGGAUAUAUGAGAAUGAGAUAUAUGCCAAAGGUAGUAUUUUGAUUCGGUGGGAGAAGGGCAGACUGUGAAGUAAGUGGUACCAGCCACAACUGAAUAUCCAUCUGGGAUAAAAUAAAAUUGCACUCGUCUUAGAGAUCCAAAUCAACUUCAGAUGGAUUAAAACUUUGAAUGUAAAAAACAUAAAUGACUAACAGUCCUGCAAAAUAUCUUGGAGACAACCUGUGCCAUCUGGAGAGUGGGAAGAGCACAUGCAAAGGCCAAGGGGUGGAGCAGCCCAGCAUGUUCUGGAAAAGGUAGGGCUCCCCAAGGCUGGGAUGAUGGUGGAGACCUGGGUGUGUGGGAGCACAGGGGUGGGGGCCCGUGGGCCAGGAAUGCACAGAGAGGGGCUGGUGCUCUGCCGCAGGCCCAAGCCCCCAAAGCCCGGUCAUUCCCAGCACCAUCUUCACGGGUUUCUGCCCAGGUCUUUCUGCUGCAUCUCUUCCUCCCCCGAUUCCUUAAUCAUUUUUUUUAAAAUCAGUUCAUGUCUUUGUAAACCAAAUUAUUUCUAAAAGGCAAAUUUAUAUUACUGCCGAAAUCAAGGGUCAGUGAGCUAGUUGUGUAUGUUCUGAAUCACAUGGAAAUAAAUGCAUCGAACAUUAAGAAGGAAAGAGUGUCUAGCGUUAGCUACCUUGGUGUGCUGGGCUCAAUGUGCAUUUUGGAAGUUGCCCUGCCACCUUGUGGGCAGGAGGGACUGGAUGAGUAGGGAGUCGGAGUGAGCAUGAAGGUGACCAGAAAGUCCAUUCCUUAGAAAGUGAGGAGGUGGCAGCCAGGGUCCAGGCCUGGGCCCUGCCUGCCCCCUCCUCACACACCAGCCUCCCGUCUGUCAUUCUAGAACCUGACCACUUCCCGCCUCAACAAGCAGCCGGCCUGGUCCUAGCUCUCGCCUGGACUACUGGAAUAGCCUCCUUGCUGGAAGUCCUCAACUUCCCCACUUUCUGUUCAUAGUACAGUGGCCGGCGGGGGCCCGUGAGGAUAGAAGUCAGGCCAGGUGCAGUGGCUCACGCGUGUAGUCCCAGCACUUCAAGAGGCCAAGGUGGGUGGAUUGCUUGAGCCCAGGAGUUCAAGACCAGCCUAGGCAACACAGUUAAACCCCAUCUCUACAGAAGAUACAAAAGUUAGCUAGGCGCAGUGGCGCACGCCUGUAGUCCCAGCUACUUUGAAGACUGAGGCGGGAGGAUCACCUGAACCCAGAAGGUCAUGGCUUCAGUGAGGCUGAUUGUGUCACUGCACUCCAUCCUGGGCAACAGAGUGAGACCCUGUCUCAAACAAAAACAAAAAAAGAUGUAAGUCAAACCUGUCCCAUCUGCGCCACACCCUCCCGCAGCACCCGGGUCCCUCUUGGCCUCUUUGGUCUCAUUCCCUUUGCUUGCUCCACUCCAGCCCCACUGGCUUCCUUCUUGUUUCUCAAACAGCUGGCACACAUCCACCCCAGAACAUUGGCACUAGCUGUCCCUGUACCCAGAUACCACAUGGCUUCCUCAUACUUUGGGCCUGGUCACCUUCUUGGACCACCUCCUGAUGAACUGUGGGUGACAGCUGGAGCACAGGUGGGUUCUGGAAGCCCUGCAGCCUGGGGUCAGGAUGAAGAUUACCCAGGGCCAGCAGGCAAGCCUGAGAGGCCGGUCUCCAGGCUUUGCAGCUCCCGGCAAGAGGUCCCAGAGGUCUUGCCCUUCCAGAGAUGAAUGCUUGAGGCCCAGAACAUGGGGCCAUCCGGAGCCAAGGCCUGGGAUGUUAGAGGAGGGGAACUCGGGACUCCAUGCAAGGACCACGGGUCAGCCCUGUGCCUGUCCAGACCACCUGCAUGGGACACAGCAGGGGCCCAGAACUGGGCAUCCAGUGGAUCACUGCAGCAGCAUCUGUGUGUCCAUAUCCAGGUAGCCGCACCCAGAUUUUCCCUCCAGGGACCACCCCCUCCCACUCUCAGUUCAAGGUGGUCCAUGUGGAGCACCCACCUCUGGCCCAGCCAGUCAGAGCCAUCCUGGCUGAUUGAUUCUGGGCACAUGACUCUGGAGGAUCCAUGGAGAGUCCAACCUGGAAACUUGGCAAGAAUCCUCGGGGACUGCCCUCCUGCUGGGGUCAUGUGGCACUGGGAGCUGCGGUGGCCAUCUUUACUGCCACCCAGGAGAGCCUGCCGGAGAGUGAGACCAACACAGAGCAGCAGAGACAGAGACAGACUGGCUCCCGAGCGUUCAGCCCCAGUGCCGGAAGCCAGCUAGAGCCCUGGCCUUUUCAGUGACAUGAGCCAAUGACAACUCCCAGUUCUCUCCCUCCGGUCAAUCUGAAGCCGGGUUUUUGCCUCUUACAACUGAAAGAGUCCUGGUGGUCACAGGCAUGGCUGAUUAAAGAUGCCCACCAGGUCUUUGUUACACCCUCAUAUACUUGGGGCCUUGAAUGUGGGUGUGCUCUGAGAUGACUUGACCAGGAGAAUACGGUAGCAGUGACACUGCAGUUUCCAGCCCAGGCCUGAAGAGAUGAUUAGCGCCCACUCCUUGCUUCUUGAAAGUCUCUCCUUGGGAGUCCUGGGCUGCUAUGUUAAAAAUCCAACUGCCCUGAGGCCACCAUGAUGUGAGGAGGCUGGAGCCAGGUGGAGAGGCCAUGGUGGCGAAAGAGCUGCCGGACCAGUUCCCAUUGCCCCAGCCCCCAGCCAUCUGAGUCAUCCCCACUGAGGACACAGAUAUCACAGAGCAGAUACGAGCUAUCCCUGCACCGCCCAUCCAGAUUCUUUACCCAGUUUGUGAGAUAUAAUAAUAAUGAACUGUUUUAGGCCACUGAGUUUUGGGGUCAUUUUUAAAGCAGCAAUAGACAGAUGGAACAAUAGUAAUGAGCAAAGGGCCACAUAUACCUAUUGGAUUGGGAAGCAAGACAGAGAUGGGGCUGCCACUGUGCGCAGGAUCGACUCACCUCCUUGGGAAUUCUUAUACACGCCCGUAUGAGUGCAGGAUGCAUGAGUAGGAUAGUGGAGCCGAAAGGGUCUUGAUAGCAGAUGGCCUUGAAUUUGAGUCCCUACUCUGCUGUAAGAUCAGCUCUGAGUCCCAGGGCUAUGUUAUUUCCCCUCCUCGAGCCUCAGUUUCUUCACCUAUCAUAUAAAAAUAUUAGUACUGUGUUGCUAGGAUGAGAUUCAGCUGCACAUAACAAGGAGAUACAAAUUUUUUUUUCUGUCAUGUGAAAAUUCACAGGUAGGCAAUCCAGGGCUACUAUAUCACUCCCUGGUGUCAGAAAGCAAGGUUGGCUUUCGUCGCCUCACAUUCCAAGAUGGCUGUUACAGCCUCACCAUUGUAUCUACAUUCCAGGGAGCAGCAAGGAGGAAGUGAAUAAAGAACAAAAUGUUCACAUCAGCUGUCUCUUAAGGAAGUCCCCUGAAAGCUGACACAUCCACUUGUAUCCCAUUGGCUAAAGCACAGUCACAUGACCAUAUCUAGCUGCAAAGGAGGCUAGGGAAUGUAGUCUUGCUCUGGGAAAUCAUGUGCUCAGCUAAAAUUCUAUGGAGGAAUAAUAGCUUUUGGAAGAUACCUGACAGUCUCUGCCAAAAGUAUCUAUGUCAAGAGUUUAUGUAAUGACUGACGUGAUUUUGAAGAGGUUUUGUUUUGAACCUCUGCUGCAUGCCAGUUUCCACAAAACUAACUGCAAAAGACAUAAUCAGGUCUUUUGUAGGACAUGGCACAGGGGCUGACACAUAGUAGGUGCCCAGUAAAUGAGGCGUCCUUGUUUGCUCUUCUAGCUGCACACCUUGCUGCUCUCCUCAAUGGUGUUUCUCUGCCCCAACCCUCCAAGGAUGAGCUCCCUCCCCAAGAGGAUACCCUGUUUCAUUUUCUUCACAUCAUUUACCAUAACUAUUUGUUUCUUAAUUUGUUCAUCAUCCAUCUCUCUCCACUCUAAUAUACACAACACGAAGAGAGGGAGAGUAUCUCUAGGGUCCCACCAAGGAAAUAGAAGUCACUUGAAAAGUGUAAAGCUUAAUUUAAAAGUUAAAAUUCAGAGAUGUGAUUGUGCAGGUGAUGGAAUUGCUAAGAACAGGGGACAAUGAGGCAGCACAGAAAUUAGGAGCAAGAAGCUGUUACCUCCCCAGGGUUGGAGGGGCAAUGGGAGGAGAUGGCAUUACCAGAGCCCAAGGCCUGGGUGACACAGGGAGACUCAGCAGGCCUGUCCAGUGGGAGCUGUAGCUGUAGGAAAGACAGAGCCACACCAGAGAUGCCACCUGAGAUGAAGAGGAAGGGGGAGAAUACCCUGGCUCCUCCCUUGUUCACUCCAGGGCCUCUCAUUGGCUGAAUCCAGCAGGAAUCCAGCUGGCCUCACACCUUGGGGCUAAGCUCCCCUCCCUGAUGGGUGACACAGAGCCAAGGGAUGGGAUAACAAGAGCUAAGGGCAAACUAGCCCGGGGCUGGCACUGGUGACUUCAUCUGUCUUGUUAUCUUCUGCAUCUGGAGCUUCAAAGGCACAGCCUGGCACACGGUAGGACCUCAAUAAACAGUGGAUGAAUAGAUUGGGGUUCUCAACUCACCUUAGCACCUAUAGAAGCUGUUUAGAGUCCACAAAACAACUCUUGUACCUGUGAGGGCUCCUAGGUGCUAGGCCCACAAAGGGAGGCAUGUUAUGGCCGUGGCAUUCUGCUUGGCCAGGAUCCGAGAGGAGCCUCCCAAUUGGAGGAUUUAGCCCAAGUUGCUUCAUUCCCUGUCCAGUGGAGCCUGGCCUCUCUCUCAGCCUCCAUCAACACCCAGAAUCCUCCAUGAUGAGCUCCUAUCCCACCAGGGCAGAGAGUGGGCAUGUCCUCAUCAGGGAGAGAAAGGACAGAGACAGACAGACAGGAAGAGAGAAACAGCCAUGCAGCCAGGGCUGGGGCUCUGCUUGCCAUUGCCCUCUAUGCACUCUAACUGUGGCAAAACCUGUGCAAAGUACAUGGAUGCUACCAACCACUGGCAAAGGAAUAGGAAGCAUAUUCCUGUGGCCCGGCAAAUGCGUGGGGAUGGCUUCAUCCACAUCCUGCAGGAAGAAAUUAAAUUAAUUGACAGGUCCAAAUGUGAGUGGACAGGUGGGGCAGCAGGAGCUCUGCACGCCACUGGUGGGAGUGUUUUUUGGAAAGUGCACUUUGUAAGAGAAUUUGGCAACACUAACAAGGACGUGUGUACAGGUGAGCUCAGCAGUUCCCUGCACAGGUAAAAUCUCAGCAGCAUCCACUGAUAUAAACACAACCACAGUAACAACGCCUGGGAGCCACCCAGGUCCAUUCACAGGAGAAAGGAUAAAUGAACCAUGUCAUGCCCACACAAUGGAAUACUCGACAGCAAUGAAGACGAACAACAGUGUCACGCAUCAACGCAGAUGUACCUCCCAACAAUACUGUGAGAGAAAAAGGCAAGUCACCAAAGAACACGUAUGUAUGAGGCCAUUCAAAUAGCUCUUCUGGAUUUCACUCCUGGGGAUGUCAAGGACCCACUAGAGUUUCCAAGCCAUGUUCACAUGUCACCUCCUUGACUAAAGGGACAUGACCAAUAAAUGCAAUGUGGGGUCCUGAACUGGAUCCUAGAGCAGGACAGAAAUAGCUAUAAAGGACAUUCUUGGGACAAUUGACGUUUAGAUAUGGAUUGUGGGGUUCGAUCAUAGUAUCAUAUCAAUGCAAAUUGUCCUAGCUCUGAUAAGCAUAUGUGUUUAUGUAAGAGAAUGUCCUUGUUUUUAGGGAACAAACACUGAAAUAUACAAUAGUAGAGAGGCAUCAUGUCUCCACCAUACUCUCAGAUGGUUCAGGAGAAAUAUGCGUGUGUCUCCGUACAUAUUAAUAUAGAGAGAAUGGUACAGCCAGUGGGACAAGUUGUAAGCAAUUGGUGAAUCUAGGUAAAGGGUAUAUGGGAAAUUGCAUCAAAAUUAAAAGUUAUGAACAUGGGGGAGAAAACCCAGUUCUUCUAUAAAAACAGCCUCCAGCCUCUCCCUCCAGCACAACCUGUCCCCACACGUGGGGCACCCGGCACCCAUGCUCUGGCUCUUGUCUCUCUGGGUCUUAGUCCCACUUAGCACCCCACACCCAAAGGUCAUGUUUUCACAGAUGUGUACCCUCAAGACUAAACACACACUUGAGGCAUUCAUGUGACUAUACAUAUUUAUGGAAAAAGAAAAUUCUUGGGCUCACAAAACUGAACGCUCCAGGGUGGACUGUCUCAGGUGGCCUUAAUCGGGGUGCUGACAACAUCCAGACGAGCACGCAGGCUUCUCUCCCUGCCACGGCGGUGCCAUUCUCCAACGGACUCUGCCGCCGUGGCUGCAAGAUGGUGGCAGCAGCUCCAACCCCUGCACCCUUUUGUGGCCAAGUCCAGUGGGAAGAAUGUGAGGUCUUCUUCCAGAAGCUUCUGCAGAUUCUCAUUAGCUUCAGCUGGGUCAUGUGUCUGUCAUCCCUGACCUGGCCUCUGGGGUCAGGAAGGCACCAUGGUCAGACUGGCCAGGCCUGAGCCCCAAGCCCCAAGUCCAACCUCUUCACAAAGCACAGCUGGCUGGGGCAGAGCGGUGCCCCCAGUGGAAAAUCAAGAUGCAGUUUCAGAAGGAUGGAAAUGGAUGCUGGGUGGCGAAACGGCAGAAACCCACCCCGGCCCACGCCCUUGCCUGUCCAAAAUCCAUGCACAUGCUUCUUCCCAUGCUCCCUCUGGGGGAGGUGUGCUAGGCAGCACAGAUGUAUGCACAGCUCCCCACAGAUGCCACCCUCAUCCUUGGAAACUGUCAAUGCCCAUGAAUUUGUUACCUCACGUAGCAAAAGAGACUUUGCAGAUGUAAUUAAGGCUGCUCGUCAGUUGACCUUAAAAUAGGGAGAGUGUCUUGGAUCAUCCACAUGGGCUCAGUGGGUCACACAAGCCCUUAAAAGCAGAGAACUUUCCAUGGCUGGUGGCAGAGGUAGAAAGGACAUUGGAAAGAGACAGCAUGGGGGAAAGGGAGAUUUAAAGCUUGGGAAGGAAGGAUGGAAAGCGCGACUGCUGCUUUGAAAACAAAGGAAGCCUCAGGCCACGUAGCAAAGAAAUGGAGACCCCAGGCCUGCAAUCAUAAGCGACUGAAUUCUGCUCACAACCCUAAUGAGCACCUCCGGGAAAGAGCCCAGCCUGCCAACACCUCGAUUUUGCCUUGUAAGCCCCUAAGCAGAAAAUACAGUUGAGGCACUCUCUGCCCAGACUUGCAGUGCACAGAAACUGUGAUGCUAAAUGGAUGUUGCUUGAAGCUGCUCAGUUGGUGGCACUUUGUUACAGCAGCAAUGGAAAAUGAAUACUGGAGGUAACACUGUCUCUCCCAGUGACAGGUCCGGCUCCAGGAGCUGGACCCCAGUGACCGUGUUACAGUCUAGGCUUAAGGCCCCCCUCACUCCCAACCUCACCUGUGCAGAGAGGGAAGGAAAAGUGCCAUGUCAACCCCCAGUAAGGGAAAGGAGGAUGGGAGACCCCUAGCCUGCAGCACAUCCAAAGCCCUGCUAGAAAAAUACUGAGAAAUGUUAGACAUUGAGCUACCACAGGACCCAGGAUUACAACUCCUGGGUAUCUACCCAAGGCAAAUGAAAACAUGUGUCCCCAGAAAAAUUUGCACACAAUGUUCAUAGCAGCAUUAUUUAUAAUAAUUGAGAAAUGGGAAUAGCCCAAAUGCCCAUCAGCUAAUGAAUAGAUAAACAAAAUAUGGCAUAGCUAUACAAUGGAAUAUUAUAUGGCCCUAAAAAGUAAUGAAGAAGCCAGACAUAAAAGGCUUUGUGUGAUUCCAUUUCCAGACAGAAAGCAGAUUAGUAGUUGCUGCAGGCUGGCGGGAGGGAGGAAUGGAAAGUGGCUGCUAACAGGAACACGGUUUAUUCUGGGGGCAAUGAAAGUGUUCUAAACUUAGAUGUGAUGAUGGAUGUACAACUGCGUGAAUAUACUAAAAAGCAUUGAAUGGCAUUGAAUGGUUCAUCUUAAAUGGGUGAAUUUUAUAGUGCGUGAAUUAUAUAGAUAAAGAUGUAAAAGAUUUGUUUAACAUCAAUAAAGAUGUAAAAAAAAAAAUGUUGAGUUUCUUGGGCAGCCAGUUCAACUGCCCAGCCCUGCCCUCUAGGAGGAAAACGAGUACUCCCUGCCCACCCUUCACCAUUCCCACAUCUGAAGUGGGCAUUGGGGAUCUCAGUUCUCUA
rnacentral:lncRNA from 1 species